rnacentral:misc_RNA from 1 species
UACAGAGGCCCCAAGCGUUACCCGGAAUCAUUGGGCGUAAAGGGUGCGUAGGCGGUGUAAUUAGUCGUGUGUUAAAGCCUCGGGCUCAACCCGAGAUCAGCAUACGAAACGGUUACACUCGAGGAUGUGAGAGGUGUACGGAACUCAUGGUGUAGGGGUGAAAUCCGUUGAUAUCAUGGGGAACACCGAAAGCGAAGGCAGUACACUGGCACAUUUCUGACGCUGAGGCACGAAAGCGUGGGUAGCGAACGGG